rnacentral:rRNA from 1 species
CGUAACGCGUAUGCAACCUACCUUCAAUCGGGGAAUACCCCAGAGAAAUUUGGAAUAAUACCCCAUAGUACAACGAAUUCGCAUGUUUUUGUUGUUAAAGUUUAGGCGAUUGAAGAUGGGCAUGCGUGACAUUAGUUUGUUGGUGAGGUAACGGCUCACCAAGACUACGAUGUCUAGGGGUUCUGAGAGGAUGAUCCCCCACACUGGUACUGAGACACGGACCAGACUCC